rnacentral:snoRNA from 1 species
UGAGUGAGGAGGAGGACAGGAAAGCAUCCUCAAGAAGGCACAGGUGAGCACAGGGCUCAUUGCAGUGAUGCACAGUCCCAUUCCAUGACAUUGGAGGUGAAGCUGGCUCUGGAGCCUGCACCUGCAUAUUCCUACAGCUUCUCAGACUCUUACGGACAAGGACUGAGGAGACAAAUCGUGUGGGAAACAGUU